rnacentral:rRNA from 1 species
CCUACGGGCGGCAGCAGUGGGGGAUAUUGUACAAUGGGGGAAACCCUGAUGCAGCGACGCCGCGUGUGGGAAGACGGUCUUCUGGAUUGUAAACCACUGUCCCCAGGGACGAAAAUGACGGUACCUGGGGAGGAAGCUCCGGCUAACUACGUGCCAGCAGCCGCGGUAAUACGUAGGGAGCAAGCGUUGUCCGGAAUUACUGGGUGUAAAGGGAGCGUAGGCGGGGAUGCAAGUUGGGUGUCAAAACUACCGGCUCAACCGAUAGUCGCACUCAAAACUGCAACUCUUGAGUGAAGUAGAGGCAGGCGGAAUUCCUAGUGUAGCGGUGAAAUGCGUAGAUAUUAGGAGGAACACCAGUGGCGAAGGCGGCCUGCUGGGCUUUUACUGACGCUGAGGCUCGAAAGUGUGGGGAGCAAACAGGAUUAGAUACCCGUGUAGUC